rnacentral:rRNA from 1 species
UACGUAGGUGGCAAGCGUUAUCCGGAUUUAUUGGGUUUAAAGGGAGCGUAGGUGGAUUGUUAUGUCAGUUGUGAAAGUUUGCGGCUCAACCGUAAAAUUGCAGUUGAAACUGGCAGUCUUGAGUACAGUAGAGGUGGGCGGAAUUCGUGGUGUAGCGGUGAAAUGCUUAGAUAUCACGAAGAACUCCGAUUGCGAAGGCAGCUCACUGGACUGCAACUGACACUGAGGCUCGAAAGUGUGGGUAUCAAACAGG